CGUUAAGACAUAUGAAUAGUAUUCCGAUUGGCAUUUAUAAAUUGUAAUCUAAUAAUUGAAAUUUUAAAUAAAUUAUUGCAAGUUACUUGAAGGGAUCAUGAGAGUUCUGUGAUUUUAGCAGAGCAACGGAGAUAAAUAAAUAACCGCAAUCAAUGGGAAUAUACCAAUCGAACAUAUUAUUAAUGAGGAUCAGGGUUGGUAGUUAUUACUCAACUCUGAUGAGAAUAUAUCAAUCAGAUAAGGAAAAUCGAGGAUGAGAAGCAAGAGAUAUAAGACUACGAUAAACUUUCUAUAAUGGAAGCUUUAAUAGGGAAUCGAGAAAUUAAUCAAGCGCGGAACUAACAGCUGUCAACGCCGAAAGGAUUUAUCCCUCUUCUAAUAAAUUCAUCUUCAAAAUGAUGUAACGUGAAUUUAUUCUGGAUAUAUCUAUUAUAUCUCUCGAAUUUCUGGAUGAAAAUAGGGGAAAGCUGAGGAUUAUAACGGGGUGUGCGUGUUUUUAUUGUACAGGGUGUCCCGCAUAGGAAA